UUACGCAAUCAGUUUCUAGCUCUACUCCGCUUACUGAGCCACAAACAUCAGUGCACAAAUGCUCAAUCCUAGUUAGCACUUAGCUUGGAUUGAAGCAGAUGCAUGUCAACAUAAUUAUUUAGAGGCUAAUAAUUUAAGAGGGUGAUAAGUGGUUGAGGGCGGAUCAUAGUCCUCUCCCGGCCCACACACCUCACACUGUACUCUGAGCAGAAGGAGGAGGAAGAGAUCGCCGAUAGGCAAGAGGAGGAUGAGAUCGCCGAUAGGCAAGAGGAGGAAGAGAUCGCCAAUAGGCAAGAGGAACAAGAAAUCGCCGAUAGGCAAGAGGAGGAAGAGAUCGCCGAUAGGCAAGAGGAGGAUGAGAUCGCCGAUAGGCAAGAGGAGGAAGAGAUCGCCAAUAGGCAAGAGGAACAAGAGAUCGCCGAUAGGCAAGAGGAGGAAGAGAUUGCCGAUAGGCAAGAGGAGGAUGAGAUCGCCGAUAGGCAAGAGGAGGAAGAGAUCGCCGAUAGGCAAGAGGAACAAGAUAUCGCCGAUAGGCAAGAGGAACAAGAGAUCGCCGAUAGGCAAGAGGAGGAAGAGAGCCACAAAACAUUGGCGGACGUAUUUAAAAAUCCUUUCCUGGGAUGUUUCAGAUAAGACGAAAACAGCUGAGGGAGCUCAAUCACAAGUAUAGCUGAAACAGCUAGUUAAGAAUUCAACAGUAUAAAUGUGUAACGUAUUAUUGAGUGAGUGAAGCAUACUAAUUCUGUUGCUUAAUUUUUAUGUUGUUAUUAC